GAUAAUGGGCGGGGGGGCUGGAAAGGCCAGCUGAGAUUUAGACACUAUAAGGUCUAGGACCCUUAUAACCUGAUCUGGAUAAUGCCAGCGUAGGUAAGCAGUUUACUCUUUUA
rnacentral:ncRNA from 2 species